UACGGAGGGUGCGAGCGUUAAUCGGAAUUAUUGGGCGUAAAGGGUGCGUAGGUGGUUUUAUAAGUUAUCUGUGAAAACCCUGAGCUUAACUUGGGGGAGAGAGAUAAGACUGUAGGACUAGAGUAUGGGAGAGGGUAGUGGAAUUUCCGGUGUAGCGGUGAAAUGCGUAGAGAUCGGAAGGAACACCGGUGGCGAAGGCGGCUACCUGGCCUAAUACUGACACUGAGGCACGAAAGCGUGGGGAGCGAACAGG
rnacentral:rRNA from 1 species